AGUGAACGCUGGCGGUAGGCCUAACACAUGCAAGUCGAACGGCAGCACAGUAAGAGCUUGCUCUUACGGGUGGCGAGUGGCGGACGGGUGAGGAAUAUAUCGGAAUCUACUUUUUCGUAGGGGUUAACGUAGGGGAACUUACGCCAAUACCGCAUACGACGUACGGGUGAAAGCAGGGGAUCUUCGGACCUUGCGCGAUUGAAUGAGCCGAUGUCGGAUUAGUUGGUUGGCGGGGUACUGGCCCACCAAGGGGCCGGUCGGUAGCUGGUCUGAGGGGAGGUAGCGCGCCACAGAAAGUGAGCGACGGCACUGACACUACGGGAGGCAGCAGUGGGGAAUAUUGGACAAUGGGCGGAAGCCUGAUCCAGCCAUCCCGCGUGUGUGAAGAAGGCCUUCGGUUUGUAAAGCCCUUUUGUUGGGAAAGAAAAGCAGUAGGUUAAUACCCCGCUGUUCUGACGGUACCCAAAGAAUAAGCACCGGCUAACUUCGUG
rnacentral:rRNA from 1 species